rnacentral:tRNA from 2 species
GAGCCCGUAGCUCAGUCGGUUAGAGCGCCAGGUUGUGGCCCUGGAGGCCGUGGGUUCAAUCCCCAUCGGGCUCCCA